AACGAACGCUGGCGGCAUGCCUAACACAUGCAAGUCGAACGAGACCUUCGGGUCUAGUGGCGCACGGGUGCGUAACGCGUGGGAACCUGCCCUUAGGUUCGGAAUAACUCCCCGAAAGGGGUGCUAAUACCGGAUAAUGUCUUCGGACCAAAGAUUUAUCGCCUUUGGAUGGGCCCGCGUUGGAUUCGCUAGUUGGUAGGGUAAAAGCCUACCAAGGCGACGAUCCAUAGCUGGUCUGAGAGGAUGAUCAGCCACACUGGGACUGAGACACGGCCCAGACUCCUACGGGAGGCAGCAGUGGGGGAUAUUGGACAAUGGGCGAAAGCCUGAUCCAGCAAUGCCGGGUGAGUGAUGAAGGCCUUAGGGUUGUAAAGCUCUUUUAACCGGGAUGAUAAUGACAGUACCGGGAGAAUAAGCGCCGGCUAACUCCGUG
rnacentral:rRNA from 1 species